CAGGAGCUAGGGGAAGAUGGAAUGAGGAGGGUUGCAGCCAGCAUCACCAGGGUGGGCAGUACAUGGCUUAUUUCCAGUGUCUUUUUGUGGGCUUUGCCUCUCUGGAAGGCGAUCCCUUGUUCAGACACGGUUUUGUUUGUAAGCUCCCUCCACCAGCCUGGAGCAUGCAGAAGGGGCACGCCAGGGCAUGGGGUGCCCAGUGAUGUCUUGAGGAUGCAGCAGGGAGCAGCACAAGCUGCUGGGGGCCGUGCUGUGACAGCAGGCUGCGCCGCCAUCCCGUACCUGUUUGAUCUCGUGGUGCAAAGACGUGUGUGUUAUGAGCUGGUGAUAAAGUUCCUGUGAUAAAGCAGCGAAGAUGUGACAGCUCCAGCCAGGCCCCAGCCCGUGCUCUGGGAUACAGAUGUUGGCACUGCUGGUGGAUGGUCCUGGAGAAACUCCACCAAGAAGAGUAUUCAGGACUUGCAGAGGUGGACAGAGGAGCCUGAGGAGCUUGAGCAGUUUUCCAUUCCUGGUCUGGGCUAUGGUGCUUGUUAGCAAAGGUUCUGCUACUUCAGCAAGGAGAUUUGAUUUGGAUGAAGCUGCAGGGUGUGUGUUUGCUCAGAGCUCUCCCUCUCCGACUAACAUUCUCCUUGAGGAAUGGGGAAACUGAGGCACAGGGACACCAAUGUCCCUGCAGUGCCAGUGGAUGUGGAGUAACAUCACCUGUGUCCUGCUCUUGGUCCAGUGCAGAGGAGUAGCUGUACACAGCUCCGCUCCAAAGGAGCCCUGCUCUUCCCAUGUGCUCCAGGGAGCUCUCAGGCAGCCGGAGCCGGCUUUGCUUCCACCGGCCUGAUGGCAGUUCCGCUCCUAAUAAGUUAAU